ACCAAUCGGAAGGCCGUAUUAGCAUCUUAAGACAUUACUUAAAACGAUCUUGAAAUAAAAAACGAACUAUGACGAACUAUGAACACCGACUUAUGAUUACUAGCUUUAGAUAUGGCGCGUCAUUAUGAGAUGUCGCACUUCAUUCCUACACGUACGCGCCAAUUUGAAAUUUGAUCAAAACUAUUUCGCUCCUUUUUGCAUUUUCCGCGAAUAAAUUCUUGUUUUUCUUUAAAUUUCUAUAGUUGAAAUAUCGAGUACAUUAUUGCAGCUGUCUAAAAUUCGCGUAAAAAGCACCGAUCAUCUAAUAGUCUAUAUUUCAAAUUGUGAUCUCAAUUUGAAUUGUUGGCUGCGCGCGUCUGCGCGGAAGUCGGCCGCCAUGACACUUACAGCGCCUUUGAUAUGGUAUAGGGCUGUGCACAAUGAGGCCUCAUCUACAAUCAAGUUUGCUGACGCUUGUCGAAUAUCGUUAGUCGUAAAAGAUGGGACCUGACCAAUCCAAAUGACGCCCGGCAGCCGCAUCGACAGCCAACACGAUAGCCAACGAAAAAUGAAGAUUAUUAUGCACAUGUACACAACAUACGACAACGUUUUCCGACUGAUUGACCAGAGGUCUGAAGAAUAGGAACAGAGAAUAGGAACAGGAAUAGAGAAUAAGAAUUUCAAUUAAUCAGAAACAAUGUACUAUAGAAUACCCAUUUUCUUACUCUACAUAAAAUUGUACGUGUUUGAAUAGAUAUGGCUGCCCUCAUAACCAUUUAAAAAAAAAAUUUACCAGUUUGAUCCAGUAUGGCGAUGCUUUGCACUCUUCUGAGAGUAUGGGAGAUUUCCCUAUUUUGGAAUAAAGGUAUUAACUAUCGAUUGCAGCAUUUAA